UACAGAGGGUGCGAGCGUUGUUCGGAAUUAUUGGGCGUAAAGGGCGCGUAGGCGGUGCGGUAAGUCACCUGUGAAAUCUCCUGGCUCAACUGGGAGCUUGCAGGCGAAACUGCCGUGCUGGAGUGUGGGAGAGGUGCGUGGAAUUCCUGGUGUAGCGGUGAAAUGCGUAGAGAUCAGGAGGAACACCCGUGGCGAAGGCGGCACUCUGGGUCGGCCCUGACGCUGAGGCGCGAAAGCGUGGGGAGCGAACAGG
rnacentral:rRNA from 1 species